ensembl:rRNA 5S_rRNA 5S ribosomal RNA
GCUUACGGCCAUACCACCCUGAAUGCUCCCGAUCUCGUCUGAUUUCUGAAGCUAAGCAGGGUCAGGCCUGGUUAGUACUUGGAUGGGAGACCGCCUAGGAAUACCAGGUGCUGUAAGCU